GACAGAGGGUGCAAACGUUGUUCGGAAUUACUGGGCGUAAAGCGCACGUAGGCGGACAUUUAAGUCAGGGGUGAAAUCCCAGAGCUCAACUCUGGAACUGCCUUUGAUACUGGGUGUCUUGAGUAUGGAAGAGGUGAGUGGAAUUCCGAGUGUAGAGGUGAAAUUCGUAGAUAUUCGGAGGAACACCAGUGGCGAAGGCGGCUCACUGGUCCAUUACUGACGCUGAGGUGCGAAAGCGUGGGGAGCAAACAGG
rnacentral:rRNA from 1 species